rnacentral:rRNA from 1 species
GAUCCUGGCUCAGGACGAACGCUGGCGGCGUGCUUAACACAUGCAAGUCGAACGAAGAGCGAUGGAAGCUUGCUUCUAUCAAUCUUAGUGGCUAACGGGUGAGUAACGCGUAAUCAACCUGCCCUUCAGAGGGGGACAACAGUCGGAAACGACUGCUAAUACCGCAUACGAUCCAAUCUCGGCAUCGAGACUGGAUGAAAGGUGGCCUCUAUUUAUAAGCUAUCACUGAAGGAGGGG